rnacentral:lncRNA from 11 species
GAUAGAAGUUCUGAUGACCUCCACGUCAGUUGAGUCCUGCCCUCAAACCCUGCGACCCUUGCCAGGGCUUUUGCUCUCCCAAGACCUCCUUCCCUCGCAGUCUUGAUGGUUAGGGGUCUGCUGGGAAGGGGAAAAGAAAGGAGGGUGGGCUGGGGUUCGCCGCCCCUGCCGCCCCCUCCCCAGCUCCGGAUCCAUCGCCGCCGCCGCCGCCGCCGCCGCCUGGCAUGCAAAGCACGGCUGAGGAGGAGGCAGCGGCUGCUCGCUCAUUGGCUGCCCCCGGCCGCAUGUGUCGCCUGAAUGGGAGUGGGCGCCGGGAAGGGAGCGAAGCCGGCGAAGGCUGCUGCGAUCCUGGACGGAAGGCCACCGAGAGACCCGCACCGGCAGCCAGGAACAGUCCAGCUCCCCUCAAAAGCAAGGAGUGAAAGCUCGGUCCAAAUCCACAGAGGAAAUGCAGCCUGCCAAGAAGGCAUUCCAAACACCGCAGAAAUCCUUACCAAACCAGAUGGAUGAAGAGGAAUCCAAGGGUUCCUGUCCUGUCCCUGGCUCCACUCAGCAAGAACAGCAGCAGACCUGAAGAACAGGAGCUGAUUGAGCGUCAACUACCAAGAAAUGGAGUCAUGACCAUUCCUCGUGCUGUCCCUUGGCUUGGCCUUGUUGCUCCGUCGUUACGCCCUUGUGGAUGUCCCUGUAGUUCCUUCUGUCCAGCUGUUGCUGUCUGAUUGUCUGUCUUCUCUGUGGAAUGAAUCUAGGUCAAUAAAGUUUGUUGGAACAUCUUUGCUCUCAUCUCCUACAUAUAUGCAACUGUCAUUUUUACCACCAAACCCUGAAGUUUGAGGCAGGGUGAGAAGAACUGGAGGCCAAAUGUUAUGAAGGAGCUUGACUCUGUCAUAUUACGUGUGGGUGGAUAUCAUGCUAAUUGUCUCUGUAGAGAACCCAAAGAUUGUUCUUACACUGCAUCAAAGCGCCACUGGAUUAUGUUUUGAUAGAGCGAGCCUUCCGCGUUUAGCAUGCUAGACAUCUGCCUUGUGGUGGUGGCUCUUGUGCCUAUUAAAGUUCUG